AAAACGGGGUGUCGUUGAAAGGUACACAACAAAAUGAAGUACACAUUCGCAUUGCUUGCAGUCGUCACCUUUCUCGUAGCAGCCGUUUCCUGCCAGAAGGAUGAUGAGGAAAGGCAAUUGGUGGCUCUCGGUGAAGCCUUGGCACCCGUAGUCGGUGGGAUUAUCUCAGAACUACCUGCUAUCGGUGAAUCUGCUCUCGGUCUAAUCGAAGAAGUUUCGAACGCCAUUGAUGUGGGACAAACGGUAGCCUGUCUAAUUCCUGGCUCGCAUGCACAUUGUUGAUCCACCCCAUACAACCGAAGCUUUUAUUCUGCUAAUGAUAUUGAUCCGUUAAUGUUUACUGGUGUACAAUAAUUAUCAAAUAAAUAGGCCUCUUUAUUGUAUUCAGAA